GACGAACGCUGGCGGCGUGCUUAACACAUGCAAGUCGAGCGGUAAGGCCCUUUCGGGGGGUACACGAGCGGCGAACGGGUGAGUAACACGUGGGUGACCUGCCCUCAGCUCUGGGAUAAGCCUGGGAAACCGGGUCUAAUACCGGAUAUGACUCCAUGACGCAUGUUGUGGGGUGGAAAGCCUUGUGCGGCUGAGGAUGGGCCCGCGGCCUAUCAGCUUGUUGGUGGGGUGAUGGCCUACCAAGGCGACGACGGGUAGCCGGCCUGAGAGGGCGACCGGCCACACUGGGACUGAGACACGGGCCCAGACUCCUACGGGAGGGCAGCAGUGGGGAAUCUUGCGCAAUGGGCGAAAGACCUGACGCAGCGACGCCGCGUGAGGGAUGAC
rnacentral:rRNA from 1 species